rnacentral:tRNA from 1 species
GGGGCAGUAGCUCAGUGGUAGAGCUCCCGCCUCGCAUAUGGGAAGACCUGGGUUCGAUUUCCGGCUGCUUAC